rnacentral:rRNA from 1 species
CAAUAGCGUAUAUUAAAGUUGUUGCGGUUAAAAAGCUCGUAGUUGGAUUUCUGCCGAGGACGACCGGUCCGCCCUCUGGGUGUGUAUCUGGUUUGGCCUGGGCAUCUUCUUGGAGAACGUAGCUGCACUUGACUGUGUGGUGCGGUGUCCAGGACUUUUACUUUGAGGAAAUUAGAGUGUUUCAAGCAGGCACACGCCUUGAAUACAUUAGCAUGGAAUAAUAAGAUAGGACCUCGGUUCUAUUUUGUUGGUUUCUAGAGCUGAGGUAAUGAUUAAUAGGGAUAGUUGGGGGCAUUCGUAUUUAACUGUCAGAGGUGAAAUUCUUGGAUUUGUUGAAGACGGACUACUGCGAAAGCAUCUGCCAUGGAUGUUCUCAUUGA